rnacentral:tRNA from 1 species
GCGGGGGUGGCAGAGCUUGGCCAAAUGCGCAAGACUGAGGCUCUUGUGGUCUAGAACCUGCAAGGGUUCAAAUCCCUUCCCCCGCA